UUGGCUCAGUGGUGGAGCACGGUGCUUGCAACGCCAGGGUUUGUGGGUUCAAUUUCCACA
rnacentral:tRNA from 1 species